UACGAAGGGGACUAGCGUUGUUCGGAAUUACUGGGCGUAAAGCGCGCGUAGGCGGCCUUCUAAGUCGAACGUGAAAUCCCCGGGCUCAACCCGGGAACUGCGUCCGAUACUGGAAGGCUUGAAUCCGGGAGAGGGAUGUGGAAUUCCAGGUGUAGCGGUGAAAUGCGUAGAUAUCUGGAGGAACACCGGUGGCGAAGGCGGCAUCCUGGACCGGCAUUGACGCUGAGGCGCGAAAGCCAGGGGAGCAAACGGG
rnacentral:rRNA from 1 species